UGGGGAGCAGGUGUGUGUAAUGAUGGGGAGCUGGUGUGUGUAAUGAUGGGGAGCAGGUGUGUGUAAUGAUGGGGAGCAGGUGUGUGUAAUGAUGGGGAGCAGGUGUGUGUAAUGAUGGGGAGCAGGUGUGUAAUGGGGGAGCAGGUGUGUGUAAUGAUGGGGAGCAGGUGUGUGUAACGAUGGGGAGCAGAUGUGUGUAACGAUGGGGAGCAGGUGUGCUUAACGAUGGGGAGCAGGUGUGUGUAAUGAUGGGGAAUACCUCAUGGUAAACUGUAGACCCUUUAAUCUACCAAGAGAGUUCUCAUCCGUAAUUAUCACGGCAAUCUACAUCCCUCCACAAGCCAACACCACUCUGGCAACUCAACAAACUGUAUGGAACCAUAAACAAACUAGAAACCACUCACCCAGAGACAACGUUUCUGGUGGGCGGAGAAUUUAACACGUGGGAGACAUAAAACCGUCCUACCUCACUUCUACCAACACUUCUGCUGCGCCACUAGGAGUGAUAAACCUCUAGACCAAUUAUAUUCUACCCACAGAAACACAUACAAGCCCCUCCCUCCUCCUCCCU
ensembl:lncRNA